UGGAAGUAAAAGUCGUAACAAGGUCUCCGUUGGUGAACCAGCGGAGGGAUCAUUACCGAGUUUACAACUCCCAAACCCAAUGUGAACGUUACCAAACUGUUGCCUCGGCGGGAUCUCUGCCCCGGGUGCGUCGCAGCCCCGGACCAAGGCGCCCGCCGGAGGACCAACCAAAACUCUUUUGUAUACCCCCUCGCGGGUUUUUAUAUAUCUGAGCCAUCUCGGCGCCUCUCGUAGGCGUUUCGAAAAUGAAUCAAAACUUUCAACAACGGAUCUCUUGGUUCUGGCAUCGAUGAAGAACGCAGCGAAAUGCGAUAAGUAAUGUGAAUUGCAGAAUUCAGUGAAUCAUCGAAUCUUUGAACGCACAUUGCGCCCGCCAGUAUUCUGGCGGGCAUGCCUGUCCGAGCGUCAUUUCAACCCUCGAACCCCUCCGGGGGGUCGGCGUUGGGGAUCGGCCCUUUACGGGGCCGGCCCCGAAAUACAGUGGCGGUCUCGCCGCAGCCUCUCCUGCGCAGUAGUUUGCACACUCGCAUCGGGAGCGCGGCGCGUCCAUUGCCGUAAAACACCCAACUUUCUGAAAUGUGACCUCGGAUCAGG
rnacentral:rRNA from 1 species